AGAAAGUCUAGAAAAAUUGUGGCUCAUUAUGCCAAUUACUUCGGUCCCUUCAGUUUUGACCGCACUCACCGCUUGAUGGCGCCCCAGCUUGUUGUUUCUGGUGAGAGUGUCCUGAAAAAAUAAAAAUCAUCAACGCAGGCCUAGAUACAGAAAAUUAAAUAUAAACAAAAUUUCCUCACAACGACUUCACCAGUCAUGAGAACGUGAACGCCAAGAUUUGUUCGUUUACUGUUUAAUUCCUUCCGAUUCGGCAAUCCGAGUGCGUUCGUGCUAAACGAGAAUGUGGUGCUGCAUUUUUUUCUGAGGGAGCUGUAUGACUUUUACGUUAGCAAGAGGAGGAGCCUUUAAUUUUAAUCAUGAACACUGAAACGACCGGCACCGUUUUUCAUAUGAAGAACCGCGGAGUGUGCGUUUGUUCGCUGGAAGUUUUGACCGCAUUGUAGCCGUGUUCUACUCGAAACAAUUGGAUUACAACACAUUGCACAAUGGCUGCGAAACAGCUGGUCGGAGUUUUCGGUUAUCAAUUGGUGCUAGGUUGGCGACAUAUGCGAAUAUCCCUGUAUAAAAACAGUCACCCCGUGCGACUGGCAAAAUGCAGAAUUGACCUAUUGUGUUCGUAUGCGGGAGUCCUCGAAAAUAAUAUCAAUGAUCACAUUAUGGUUCUACACUGUGUCGGUAACAAGUGGUAAACGGCAAAGACGCAAUAAACGUGACGAAUUGACUGUUUUUUUUUAAUGGGACGCAUCUCCCAGAUCGAAAUAUGAUCCCGCUUUGAGGGAACACCAAGCAAUCAGGAUCCAAAUAAAUCAAUUGCCAUUAUGGAGAAUCCACCACUGUCCUACAGUGAUGGCCAAUUGAAUACUUCGAUCACUAUUCUCACGGUUAGUGUUCCAUCCGAGCUGACGCGAAGUUCUGAGAAUGAGAUCGUAUUAUAAUCAUUAAAAGUACACAGAAAGUAUUUGCUUGCUAAAUAAAUAAUUGUUAUUUUUAUA